GCUAAACGGACAGGGGCAAUGUACAUAGACCACUUUAUUGAGAUGAAUUGGUCUGGGUGCAUUAAGUGUCCCUUUAAAAUGAACCUGUCACAAUAUAUUCUCUUUACCAUGACUUAUAGACUCAGUUCAUUACUUCAGUCUACCAUACUUUUCUGUAAAAGAGAAAUUCAUAGGAAAAUGCAUUUUUAUCUGCAUGUUUCUUUUAAAAGCUUUUUAGAAAUCAGUAAAGUGACUUCCAUUCAAU